rnacentral:rRNA from 1 species
AUUGAACGCUCGCGGGAUGCUUUACACAUGCAAGUCGAACGGCAGCGCGGACUUCGGUCUGGCGGCGAGUGGCGAACGGGUGAGUAAUGUAUCGGAACGUGCCCAGUAGCGGGGGAUAACUACGCGAAAGCGUAGCUAAUACCGCAUACGCCCUGCGGGGGAAAGCAGGGGAUCGUAAGACCUUGCACUAUUGGAGCGGCCGAUAUCGGAUUAGCUAGUUGGUGAGGUAACGGCUCACCAAGGCGACGAUCCGUAGCUGGUUUGAGAGGACGACCAGCCACACUGGAACUGAGACACGGCCCAGACUCCUACGGGAGGCAGCAGUGGGGAAUUUUGGACAAUGGGGGCAAGCCUGAUCCAGCCAUCCCGCGUGUGCGAUGAAGGCCUUCGGGUUGUAAAGCACUUUUGGCAGGAAAGAAACGUAGCGGGCUAAUACCCCGUGGAACUGACGGUACCUGCAGAAUAAGCACCGGCUAACUACGUG